GUCCCACCUGAAAUUUUGGGGGGUUUUGGGGGAUUUUGGGGUCUCAGCAGGGUCAGAUUGUCCCAAAAGUUGGGUAAAUUUAGGAUUUUAGGGGUGGGAUUGGGGUGGUUUGAGGUGUUCACCAUCCUUUCUUCUCUGGGACCUCACCACGUGGGUUUUGGGGUCCCACCUGAAAUUUUGGGGGGUUUUGGGGCAUUUUGGGGUCUCACCAGGGUCAGAUUGGGUCAGAAUUUGGGUAAAUUCGGGGUUUUUGGGGUGGGAUUGGGGUGGUUUGAGGUGUUCACCAUCUUUUCUUCUCUGGGACCUCACCACGUGCGUUUUGGGGUCCCACCUCAAAUUUUGGGGGGUUUUGGGGGAUUUUGGGGUCUCAUCGGGGCCAAAUUGGGUCAAAAUUUGGGCAAAUCCCGAAUUUUUGGGGUGGUUUGAGCUGGUCUUGUUCCUUCUCCUCUGGGAUCUCACCACAUCAGUUUUGGGGUCCCACCUCAAAUUUUGGGGGGUUUGGGGGGUUUUGGGGUCUCAUUGGGGCCAAAUUGGGUCAGAAUUUGGGUAAAUUUGGGAUUUUUGGGGUGGGAUUUGGGGUUUUGGAUCUGCUCCUGUCCCUUCUCCUCUGGGACCUCACCACGUGGGUUUUGGGGUCCCACCUGAAAUUUUGGGGGGGUUUUGGGGUCUCAUCGGGGCCAAAUUGGG